UACGAAGGUCCCAAGCGUUAUCCGGAUUUAUUGGGUUUAAAGGGUGCGUAGGCGGGUUAUUAAGUCAGUGGUGAAAGCCUACAGCUUAACUGUAGAAUUGCCAUUGAUACUGUUAAUCUUGAGUAUGAUUGAGGUGGGCGGAAUGUGUCAUGUAGCGGUGAAAUGCUUAGAUAUGACACAGAACACCGAUUGCGAAGGCAGCUCACUAAGUCAUAACUGACGCUGAUGCACGAAAGCGUGGGGAGCAAACAGG
rnacentral:rRNA from 1 species